rnacentral:rRNA from 1 species
AGAGUUGAUAUGGCUCAGGACGAACGCUGGCGGCAUGCCUAACACAUGCAAGUCGAACGGGGGUAGCAAUACCCUAGUGGCGAACGGGUGAGUAACACGUGAGCAACCUGCCCUUUACAACGGGAUACCACUAAGAAAUUAGUGCUAAUACGGUAUAUGACCACACCGAGGCAUCUCGGAGGGGUGAAAGCGAAAGCGGUAAAGGAUGGGCUCGCGUCCAAUUAGCUAGUUGGUGAGAUAACAGCCCACCAAGGCGACGAUUGGUAGCCGACUUGAGAGAGUGAUCGGCCACACUGGAACUGAGACCCGGUCCAGACUCCUACGGGAGGCAGCAGUGGGGAAUAUUGGGCAAUGGAGGAAACUCUUACCCAGACAAUGCCGCGUGAGUGAAUGAAGGUCUUCGGAUUGUAAAGCUCUUUGAUCGGGGACGAAUAAAUGACGGUACCCGAGGAACAAGCCCCGGCUAACUAUGUGCCAGCAGCCGC